UACGAAGGGUGCAAGCGUUACUCGGAAUUACUGGGCGUAAAGCGUGCGUAGGUGGUGGCUUAAGUCCGUUGUGAAAGCCCUGGGCUCAACCUGGGAAUUGCAGUGGAUACUGGGUCACUAGAGUGUGGUAGAGGGUGGCGGAAUUCCCGGUGUAGCAGUGAAAUGCGUAGAGAUCGGCAGGAACACCAAAGGGGAAGCCAGCAGACUGGGCAUAUGCUGACGCUGAGGCGCGAAAGCGUGGGGAGCAAACAGG
rnacentral:rRNA from 1 species